rnacentral:rRNA from 1 species
UACGUAGGGGGCAAGCGUUGUCCGGAUUUAUUGGGCGUAAAGAGCGUGUAGGCGGCCUGACAGGUCUGCUGUGAAAACUCGAGGCUCAACCUCGAGAUGUCGGCGGAAACCAUCUGGCUAGAGUCCGGAAGAGGAGAGUGGAAUUCCUGGUGUAGCGGUGGAAUGCGUAGAGAUCCGGAAGAACACCGGUGGCGAAGGCGGCUCGCUGGGCAGUGGCUGACGCUGAGGCGCGACAGCGUGGGGAGCAAACAGG